UGGCCUAACACAUGCAAGUCGAGCGGGGUUUUCGGACCCAGCGGCGGACGGGUGAGUAAUGCGUAGGAAGCUACCCGACAGGGGGGGAUACCAGUUGGAAACGACUGUUAAUACCGCAUAAUGUCUACGGACCAAAGUGUGGGACCUUCAGGCCACAUGCUGUCGGAUGCGCCUACGUGGGAUUAGCUAGUUGGUGAGGUAAUGGCUCACCAAGGCGACGAUCCCUAGCUGGUUUGAGAGGAUGAUCAGCCACACUGGAACUGAGACACGGUCCAGACUCCUACGGGAGGCAGCAGUGGGGAAUAUUGGACAAUGGGCGCAAGCCUGAUCCAAAGAUGCCGCGUGUGUGAAGAAGGCCUUCGGGUUUAAUAAAUGGUCAGCGAGGAGGAAGGGUUGUGUGUUAAUAGCAC
rnacentral:rRNA from 1 species